rnacentral:rRNA from 1 species
UACGAAGGGUGCAAGCGUUACUCGGAAUUACUGGGCGUAAAGCGUGCGUAGGUGGUUUGUUAAGUCUGCUGUGAAAGCCCCGGGCUCAACCUGGGAAUGGCAGUGGAUACUGGCAAGCUGGAGUGCGGUAGAGGGUAGUGGAAUUUCCGGUGUAGCGGUGAAAUGCGUAGAUAUCGGAAGGAACACCAGUGGCGAAGGCGGCUACCUGGAUUGACACUGACACUGAGGCGCGAGAGCGUGGGGAGCAAACAGG